ACACACACACACACACACAUAUAUAUAUAUAUGUAUGUAUAUGUGUGUGUGUGUGUGUGUGUGU